GACGUAGGGCGCGAGCGUUGUCCGGAUUUAUUGGGCGUAAAGAGCUCGUAGGCGGUUUGUCGCGUCUGCCGUGAAAGUCCGGGGCUCAACUCCGGAUCUGCGGUGGGUACGGGCAGACUAGAGUGAUGUAGGGGAGACUGGAAUUCCUGGUGUAGCGGUGAAAUGCGCAGAUAUCAUGAGGAACACCGAUGGCGAAGGCAGGUCUCUGGGCAUUAACUGACGCUGAGGAGCGAAAGCAUGGGGAGCGAACAGG
rnacentral:rRNA from 1 species